GCUCAGAGUGAACGCUGGCGGUAGGCCUAACACAUGCAAGUCGAACGGCAGCACAGUAAGAGCUUGCUCUUAUGGGUGGCGAGUGGCGGACGGGUGAGGAAUACAUCGGAAUCUACCUUUUCGUGGGGGAUAACGUAGGGAAACUUACGCUAAUACCGCAUACGACCUUCGGGUGAAAGCAGGGGACCUUCGGGCCUUGCGCGGAUAGAUGAGCCGAUGUCGGAUUAGCUAGUUGGCGGGGUAAAGGCCCACCAAGGCGACGAUCCGUAGCUGGUCUGAGAGGAUGAUCAGCCACACUGGAACUGAGACACGGUCCAGACUCCUACGGGAGGCAGCAGUGGGGAAUAUUGGACAAUGGGCGCAAGCCUGAUCCAGCCAUACCGCGUGGGUGAAGAAGGCCUUCGGGUUGUAAAGCCCUUUUGUUGGGAAAGAAAAGCAAUCGGCUAAUACCCGGUUGUUCUGACGGUACCCAAAGAAUAAGCACCGGCUAACUUCGUGCCAGCAGCCGCGGUAAUACGAAGGGUGCAAGCGUUACUCGGAAUUACUGGGCGUAAAGCGUGCGUAGGUGGUUGUUUAAGUCUGUUGUGAAAGCCCUGGGCUCAACCUGGGAAUUGCAGUGGAUACUGGGCGACUAGAAGUGUGGUAGAAGGGUUAGUGGAAAUUCCCCCGGUGUAGCCAGUGAAAAUGCGUAGAAGAUUCGGGAGGAACCAUCCAUGGCGAAGGCAGCUACCUGGACCAA
rnacentral:rRNA from 1 species